rnacentral:rRNA from 1 species
AAUGAACGCUGGCGGCAUGCCUAACACAUGCAAGUCGAACGAAGGCUUCGGCCUUAGUGGCGCACGGGUGCGUAACGCGUGGGAAUCUGCCCUCAGGUUCGGAAUAACAGCGAGAAAUUGCUGCUAAUACCGGAUGAUAUCGCGAGAUCAAAGAUUUAUCGCCUGAGGAUGAGCCCGCGUAGGAUUAGCUAGUUGGUGUGGUAAAGGCGCACAAAGGCGACGAUCCUUAGCUGGUCUGAGAGGAUGAUCAGCCACACUGGGACUGACACACGGCCCAGACUCCACCGGGAGGCAGCAGUGGGGAAUAUUGGACAAUGGGCGAAAGCAUGAGCCAGCAAUGCCGCGUGAGUGAUGAAGGCCUUAGGGUUGUAAAGCUCUUUUACCCGGGAUGAUAAAGACAGUACCGGGAGAAUAAGCUCCGGCUAACACCGUGCCAGCCGCCGCAGUAA